GGGANGAAAGCCUAUGGGUUGUAAACCUCUUUUCUCAAGGAGGAAUAUAUGACGUUACUUGAGGAAUAAGCAUCGGCUAACCCUGUGCCAGCAGCCGCGG
rnacentral:rRNA from 1 species